AAGUAGAGAAUGAAGUGAGUUCAUUUUACAGGAACUCAAAAGAAUUGCAGUCGAACCCUUAGAAGAACAGUCUCCAAAGGAAAGCACCCGCUGAAGUAAGAGGAGACCCAGGCCUCUAUUGCCUCUUCACUACAAGUCGAGAUGAGCUCCAACCAGAGGCCCUAUCUACUUGCUGUAUCUCUCUCGCCAGAUUUAUGCCGAACUCCAAAGCUCUUGACUCAAGGUCACACAACAAGAGUCCUGCUGUUUAGGUCAUGUAUAGGAUCCGGAAAUCCUUACAGGAUGGAAAUUGUCAACGUCCAGCAUGCAGCUCACACAAGACUUUCAGGAGUGUUUGCUACAAAACAAGUGUGUUAUAUAAUCAUAUCUUAUAGGAAUCUUUAAAUAUUUAUUUGUUCAUGAAGCUUACCUGCCAGAUAUAUAUAUAGCUGUAUUCUCC